ACGCUCGACAGUGUCAGCCGCCGCGGUCAGUACGGGGGGGGCAAGCGUUGUUCGGAAUUACUGGGCGUAAAGGGCUCGUAGGUGGCCAACUAAGUCAAAACGUGAAAUCCCUCGGCUUAACCGGGGAACUGCGUUUGAUACUGGAUGGCUUGAGUUUGGGAGAGGGAUGCGGAAUUCCAGGUGUAGCGGUGAAAUGCGUAGAUAUCUGGAGGAAACACCGGUGGCGAAGGCGGCAUCCUGGACCAAUACUGACGCUGAGGAGCGAAAGUCCGAGGGGAGCAAACGGGAUUAGACUACCCCGGUAGUCCUGGCCCUAAACGAUGAAUGCUUGGUGUGGCGGGUAUCGAUCCCUGCCGUGCCGAAGCUAACGCAUUAAGCAUUCCG
rnacentral:rRNA from 1 species